ACCAUCUUAACUCAGUUGGUAGAGUAACGGUCUUUUAAACCGUGAGUCCUGAGUUCGAUCCUCAGAGGUGGUACUA
rnacentral:tRNA from 1 species